UACGGAAGGCAGCAGUGGGGAAUAUUGCACAAUGGGCGCAAGCCUGAUGCAGCCAUGCCGCGUGUAUGAAAAGGCCUUCGGGUUGUAAAGUACUUUCAGUCGUGAGGAAGGUGUUAAGGUUAAUAACCUUAGCAAUUGACGUUAGCGACAGAAGAAGCACCGGCUAACUCCGUGCCAGCAGCCGCGGUAAUACGGAGGGUGCGAGCGUUAAUCGGAAUUACUGGGCGUAAAGGGCACGCAGGCGGUUAAUUAAGUUGGAUGUGAAAUCCCCGGGCUUAACCUGGGAAUGGCAUUCAAGACUGGUUAGCUAGAGUCUUGUAGAGGGGGUAGAAUUCCAUGUGUAGCGGUGAAAUGCGUAGAGAUGUGGAGGAAUACCGGUGGCGAAGGCGGCCCCUGGACAAAGACUGACCGCUCAUGUGCGAAAGCGUGGGGAGCAAACGAGGGAUUAGA
rnacentral:rRNA from 1 species